rnacentral:rRNA from 1 species
UGAGUACGAGAUGCUACGGCGUCGAAGCAGUCUAGGUCAUACUUCCAAGAAAAGCUUGCACUGUCAUAAACAAAGAAUGCCUGUACCAUAACCGACACAGGUGGGUAGGUAGAGUAUACUAAGGGGCGCGAGAUAACUCUCUCUAAGGAACUCGGCAAAAUGACUCCGUAACUUCGGGAGAAGGAGUGCCUUAUUUUUAAGGUUGCAAUAACAAGAUCCAAGCAACUGUAUACCAAAAACACAGGUCUCCGCUAAGUCGUAAGACGAUGUAUGGGGGCUGACGCCUGCCCAGUGCCAGAAGGUUAAAGAAGUUGGUUAGCAUUCGCGAAGCUGAUAACUGAAGCCCUGGUGAACGGCGGCCGUAACUAUAACGGUCCUAAGGUAGCGAAAUUCCUUGUCGGGUAAGUUCCGACCCGCACGAAAGGCGUAAUGAUUUGGAUACUGUCUCGGAGAGGGGCUCGGUGAAAUAGACUUGUCUGUGAAGAUGCGGACUACCUGCACCUGGACAGAAAGACCCUAUGAAGCUUUACUGUAACUUGAGAUUGAAAUUGGACUUUAUUUGCGCAGUAUAGGUGGGAGGCGUUGAGAAUAAUCUUGCGGGAUUAUCGGAGCCAUCAGUGAGAUACCACUCUUGUAAUGUUAGAUUUCUAACUUUGUAUCAUUAUCUGGUCAAAGAACAGUUUCAGGCGGGCAGUUUGACUGGGGCGGUCGCCUCCCAAAGGGUAACGGAGGCGCACAAAGGUUUCCUCUGAACGGGUAGAAAUCGUAUCUAGAGUGUAAAGGCAUAAGGAAGCUUGACUGUGAGACCUACAAGUCGAGCAGGGACGAAAGUCGGUCUUAGUGAUCUGACGGUGCUGAGUGGAAAGGCCGUCACUCAACGGAUAAAAGUUACUCUAGGAUAACAGGCUGAUCUCCCCCAAGAGUUCACAUCGACGGGGAGGUUUGGCACCUCGACGUCGGCUCAUCGCAUCCUGGGGCGGUAGUACGUCCCAAGGGUUGGGCUGUUCGCCCAAAAGCGGUACGCGAGCUGGGUUCAGAACGUCGUGAGACAGUUCGGUCCAUAUCCGGUGUAGGCGUUAGAAUAUUGAAAGGAGCCUUCUCUAGUACGAGAGGACCGAGAAGGACAUACCUCUGGUGUGCCAGUUAUCGUGCCAACGGUAAACGCUGGGUAGCUAUGUAUGGAGUGGAUAACCGCUGAAAGCAUCUAAGUGGGAAGCCCACCUUAAGAUAAG